rnacentral:rRNA from 1 species
CCUACGGGCGACAGCAGUGGGGAAUAUUGGGCAAUGGAGGCAACUCUGACCCAGCAACGCCGCGUGAAUGAUGAAGGUCUUCGGAUUGUAAAGUUCUUUUCUAAGGGAAGAAGAAAGUGACGGUACCUUAGGAAUAAGCCUUGGCUAACUCCGUGCCAGCAGCCGCGGUAAUAAGUAGGAGGCAAGCGUUAUCCGGAAGGACUGGGCGGAAAGGGUGCGUAGGGGGUUCAGGAAGUUAGUAGCGGAACUCCGGGGCACAACCUCGGCACUACUACUAAAACUGUUGGACUUGAGUGCAGGAGGGGCAACUGGAAUUCCUAGUGUAGCGGUGGAAUGCGUAGAUAUUAGGAGGAACACCAGUGGCGAAGGCGAGUUGCUGGACUGUAACUGACACUGAGGCACGAAAGCGUGGGGAGCAAACAGGAUUAGAUACCCGUGUAGUC